rnacentral:rRNA from 1 species
UGGGGAAUAUUGGGCAAUGGGCGAAAGCCUGACCCAGCAACGCCGCGUGAGGGAAGAAGGUUUUCGGAUUGUAAACCUCUGUCCUAAGUGACGAAGGAAGUGACGGUAGCUUAGGAGGAAGCCCCGGCUAACUACGUGCCAGCAGCCGCGGUAAUACGUAGGGGGCGGAGCGUUGUCCGGAAUGACUGGGCGUAAAGGGCGUGUAGGCGGCCGAUUAAGUAUGGAGUGAAAUUCCAGCUUUCAAGGUUGGACUUGCUUUGUAGACUGGUUGGCUUGAGUGCGGAAGAGGUAAGUGGAAUUCCCAGUGUAGCGGUGAAAUGCGUAGAGAUUGGGAGGAACACCAGUGGCGAAGGCGACUUACUGGGCCGUAACUGACGCUGAGGCGCGAAAGCGUGGGGAGCGAACAGGAUUAGAUACC